GCCUGGGUGGCUCAGCUGGUUAGAGCAUGGUGCUGAUAACGUCAAGGUUGCAGGUUUGAUCCCCAUCCGGAACA